rnacentral:rRNA from 1 species
ACAUGCAAGUCGAGGGGCAGCAUUUUAGUUUGCUUGCAAACUGAAGAUGGCGACCGGCGCACGGGUGAGUAACACGUAUCCAACCUGCCGAUAACUCCGGAAUAGCCUUUCGAAAGAAAGAUUAAUACCGGAUAGCAUACGAAUAUCGCAUGAUAUUUUUAUUAAAGAAUUUCGGUUAUCGAUGGGGAUGCGUUCCAUUAGUUUGUUGGCGGGGUAACGGCCCACCAAGACUACGAUGGAUAGGGGUUCUGAGAGGAAGGUCCCCCACAUUGGAACUGAGACACGGUCCAAACUCCUACGGGAGGCAGCAGUGAGGAAUAUUGGUCAAUGGGCGAGAGCCUGAACCAGCCAAGUAGCGUGAAGGAUGAAGGCUCUAUGGGUCGUAAACUUCUUUUAUAUGGGAAUAAAGUUUUCCACGUGUGGAAUUUUGUAUGUACCAUAUGAAUAAGGAUCGGCUAACUCCGUGCCAGCAGCCGCGGUAAUACGGAGGAUCCGAGCGUUAUCCGGAUUUAUUGGGUUUAAAGGGAGCGUAGGUGGAUUGUUAAGUCAGUUGUGAAAGUUUGCGGCUCAACCGUAAAAUUGCAGUUGAAACUGGCAGUCUUGAGUACAGUAGAGGUGGGCGGAAUUCGUGGGUGUAGCGGUGAAAUGCUUAGAUAUCACGAAGAACUCCGAUUGCGAAGGCAGCU